rnacentral:tRNA from 1 species
AGUCUUCGUUUCCCAGGUGGUCUAGUGGUUAGGAUUCGUGGCUCUCACCCACGCGGCCCGGGUUCGAUUCCCGGUC